ACGAACGCUGGCGGCAUGCCUAACACAUGCAAGUCGAACGAACCCUUCGGGGUUAGUGGCGCACGGGUGCGUAACGCGUGGGAAUCUACCCUUAGGUUCGGAAUAACUCAGAGAAAUUUGAGCUAAUACCGGAUGAUGACGUAAGUCCAAAGAUUUAUCGCCUAAGGAUGAGCCCGCGUAGGAUUAGCUAGUUGGUGUGGUAAAGGCGCACCAAGGCGACGAUCCUUAGCUGGUCUGAGAGGAUGAUCAGCCACACUGGGACUGAGACACGGCCCAGACUCCUACGGGAGGCAGCAGUGGGGAAUAUUGGACAAUGGGCGAAAGCCUGAUCCAGCAAUGCCGCGUGAGUGAUGAAGGCCUUAGGGUUGUAAAGCUCUUUUACCCGGGAUGAUAAUGACAGUACCGGGAGAAUAAGCUCCGGCUAACUCCGU
rnacentral:rRNA from 1 species